AGAUGGGUCAAACGUCGUCGUUCGUGAUCUGUUAUCUCCUUUAUAAGCUUCGCUUCAUCGAAAGUGAACUUAUCCAUAGCCGCAACCUCCAUAGCCGCAACCCCCCUAGGUCGUGUUUUAGAUUCAACAACCCAUAAAACUGUAUGCCCUUCAAACCAUCCAUCAGCUGUCUUUAUCUCUCAGAUCCAUCUCAAUUUCCACAAAUCAAUACUCAUUUACAUUCAAUUACCUCAUCAAUUCAUGCGGGUUGAGUCCACAAACUGCUAUUUCACCUUCCAAAUACAUCAAUCUCAAACCCUAGACAAACCAGAUUCGGUUCUCAACUUCUUCAACAAGCAUAGUUUCAAGAUCUUGAAUUUGGGCAAAAGGGUUUUCUUGGGAUCAGAAAACGCCCCAAAACGUCUCGUAUCGGAUCCCAAGAAAACCGUUUUGCCCAAAUUCCAGCUCUUUUACUUGUCUGGCAUCUCGAGCUCAAGAUCCCAACUAUUUUGACAUAAAACGUUCAGAUGUUCAGGCAAUUGAAACUUGAAGCUCAACAACAUGGUGCAUUGAUUUCUCUGCUUUUUAAAAAAAAAUUGUAGUGGUUGAGGCUUGGUGUGAUAUAGAUCAGUCAGGUGGUCUUGGUUUUGUUUGACAUUCAAUUUUGGAACUAGUUCAAUUUGUUAGGUUAAUGAUUUUGAUUUUCAAUUGUAAUGAUGCAAACAUCUAACUUUGUGUUGUAAUUUUUUUUUAUCCCGCAACUCUUAUCUUCCUAUUUCGUUUAGAGCAUAAAUAAAUGAGAUUAUAUCACAUUAUUCUCUUUAUGAAGUGUGACAUUAUUGUUUCAAAUUA